GUCUACGGCCAUACCACCCUGAACGCGCCCGAUCUCGGAAGCUAAGCAGGGUCGGGCCUGGUUAGUACUUGGAUGGGAGAAAUUUUAAGAAUAAAUCAUUAAGGUUACAUU
rnacentral:rRNA from 1 species